UUGGUUCUCCCGCAACGCUACUCUGUUUACCAGGUCAGGUCCGGAAGGAAGCAGCCAAGGCAGAUGACGCGUGUGCCGGGAUGUAGCUGGCAGGG
rnacentral:SRP_RNA from 1 species